rnacentral:rRNA from 1 species
UGGGGAAUCUUGCGCAAUGGACGAAAGUCUGACGCAGCGACGCCGCGUGGGGGAAGAAGGCUCUCGGGUUGUAAACCCCUUUCAGAAAGGACGAAGCUACUCAGGUUAAUAGCCGAGAGGGUGACGGUACUUUCAGAAGAAGCCCCGGCUAACUACGUGCCAGCAGCCGCGGUAAUACGUAGGGGGCAAGCGUUGUCCGGAUUUAUUGGGCGUAAAGAGCGUGUAGGCGGUUCGGUAGGUCCGUUGUGAAAACUCGAGGCUCAACCUCGAGACGCCGAUGGAAACCCUCGAACUAGAGUCCGGAAGAGGAGAAUGGAAUUCCUGGUGUAGCGGUGAAAUGCGCAGAUAUCAGGAAGAACACCCGUGGCUAAGGCGGUUCUCUAGUACGGUACUGACGCUGAGACGCGAAAGCGUGGGGAGCGAAC